rnacentral:rRNA from 1 species
UACGUAGGUGGCAAGCGUUGUCCGGAUUUACUGGGCGUAAAGAGCGCGCAGGCGGUCGUUCAAGUCGCGUGUGAAAGCCCCCGGCUCAACUGGGGAGGGUCACGCGAUACUGAUCGACUCGAAGGCAGGAGAGGGUAGUGGAAUUCCCGGUGUAGUGGUGAAAUGCGUAGAUAUCGGGAGGAACACCUAUGGCGAAGGCAGCUCGCUGGGACGUUACUGACGUUGAGACGCGAAAGCGUGGGGAGCAAACAGG